CGGGUUGGACUACGCCGAGAUUGCCCCUAUAUUAGCCCUGUUCGGGUUCGCCCGGACUAUGGCGAUAAAUGCGCUCAUAAUAAGCGGACCGGACCCGGGUGCGAUUCCCGGCGGCUCCACCAAAAUCUCUCACCGCGUUAUCGGCGGGAGCUGCGGGGCCGACUAGCAUCGACGGACGUGUAAAGGGGAUUGCUUUCGCUCGUCCUGGCCCACCGUAUCGGGCCUUUAUCUAACUGCGAACGAUAACUUCGCUGGAGAAGUCCGCCUCGCCGC
rnacentral:tmRNA from 1 species